GGCUCAAUGGUCUAGAAGUAUGAUUCGCCCUUCGGGUUUACCCGGUUACAGCACCGCCAUAGGUCACGUGACCUGACAUGGGCGAGGUCCCGGGUUCAAUUCCCGGUUGAGCCC